GGGAUUAGCCACCCACUACGCGCCCGCCCCGUGCUCGACGUGCAUUCCUCAGCCCCCGCGCCCCCUCCGCUCUCUCCUCCCCCUCCUUGUCCCUGUCCCAACCCUAAUCCUUUUCCCUCUCCACCCCGCAGCCGCCCCCUAGCUCCUCGUCCCCUUCACUCAGUCCAUCCCUCCUCAUCCCAGAUCCAGCGGAUCCGAGGCGUGCAGACGCGGAGGCGAGUUUCUCUGGCGCCGGUGGCAACCUGCAAGCAAAGGGCGGCGGCGGCGCUCGAUUUGAUCUGCAGGAGAGAGAGAGAUGGAGAGGAGGGACGCCACCAUGGGAGAACAGGGCCAACUUCGUGGUGGGCAUGGAGGCGCAGAGGAGGAUGGCGAUGGGGGAUGGGAGCAGAGUAGCAGGACUUCCAGGCGGUGCUCGCGUCAUGGUGGAGUGGAGGAGCUCGUCGUCCAUCAUCACAAUCCACAAUCUAGAUCUGAGAUAGAAAAGAAGAGAAAGAAUCUUGUGGAAUUUCAGAUCUGAGAUAGGAACGGGGAGAAAGAAUCUUGUGAAAGAGCCUGACGAAAAAGAAAGGGAAAGGAAUUUUCUCCUUGCUUUCAUAUGUCGAUAUCAACUCACUGCUUGAUUCAGUCAAGGCAAAGGGCAUUAGGAGACCUCCAAUCUGCAGAAUGGCAUGCUUGAGAAGCUCAUCAAUGCUAAUUCAACUGAGGUUGAUUGGGAACGUCCCUUCUAUUUGAAUUUAACACGUCAUAGUCAAUGCAGUAUUAGAUACCCUGAGGAUGGAUGUUUUAUUCAAAGAAUGUCCCAGAAAUUGUGAAUCUCGGUGUACAAGAAUCAACACAAAUGCUGAAACAUUUUUUUUGCUGAAGGUAGUAUUUUUUUCCUGUUCCCAGGCAUUUUCCUCAUGUUUGCUUCUAAAAUGUUACUUGCAAGGCUUAUAUGAUUCAUGGAGUUCAAUUAGCAAUGCUUAUAAUAUUCCACCCAAAGAAUAAUAUUGUUGCAGGGGUAGAGACAUGCAAUGGCGAGGGUUGCACCGAAAGCGAGGGAUGGCAUGGUAGAACUGGAGGUUGUCCCAUGGCGAGGGUAGGGCAGGGCAGAUCAGUCCUAAAUAUCUCAAUGUUGAAUCAUUUCCAAUAGCCUUCCAGCAAGUUCAUUCUUCUUCUCUGAUUGGGUCAUGUUAGGCCAGAAGAGUAAAACUAGAGAGGAAGGAUAACUUAUUAGGCAAUUAUGUUCGUUGUACUGCUUGGUAUUUGUUUCGAAUAUGAAUAAUUUUGGUUAUGAUUUCUACACUGCAUAGUGUCGUUAUUAUGAGAUUAUUGAUUACUGUCACAUAUCUCUUUUCAAUGCAAACAGAUAUGCAUUUGCUUUGGAUCU